AAUAAAAUGGCUGAAGUUUAAAGCAUUAGAUUGUAAAUCUAAGUAUGAGAUAAAAUCUCUUUUAUUA
rnacentral:tRNA from 1 species